rnacentral:lncRNA from 1 species
GGGUAUAACAUCAACUCAAGCCUUGGCAGUGGCAGUCUGGAUGAGGUGCAGCUGGUGGCAGUGGAUGCUGGGCAUCCUCAGGUUACUGGAUAUCUUCAGGAACCAUUAGUGUAGCACUGAAUAAAUUCACCUUCAGUCUGACUCUACCUGCAUUCGAUAAGUGAAAACUUUCUUUGUCUCACGGCCAACUAAUCUGUGCAAACCAAACUGAAGCUCUCAAUUCAGUUGCUGUUCACUGGGUGCUCAUGGCAUCAGUGGGACCGAUGCCAUGGCAGAGAGGACAAGAAGUUUAUGGACAUGACUUGCCCCUAAUAGUAUGUGUACACAGGACAAUGCAACACAGUGCAGAAACAUCUAGGAUCUCUCUGAACAAGCUAAGGCUGUUCAAGAACCUCCCACUCUCAGAGCCCUCGGAGGUUUGCCGCCAGCCUUACUCAGAGGACAUUCCAGACCUGUCACUGCGCAGCUGCUCCUGGCAGCCAGCCCUCCACGCAAAGGCUUUGCCAAGGCACUGCUUCUCUGCACCCCCAAACACUCUGCUGAAACAAUGGUUAAUAGUUUUGCACUUGCACAACUGCUAGAUUUCCUUUUGCCUUAAAAAGGAUUUGUUUACUUCAGUUAUAAAAUGGUGUUGUGUUUUUGGCGUCGCUGGC